rnacentral:lncRNA from 1 species
AUUCCCCCUCCCCAUUCUCCUUCUCUCUUUCUUUCGCAUCACAAGGCUACUUCCUCAAGGGUGCUGGGGAUACCGUUUUCCUGUUUCAUUUCAAGAGCAACACCACCAUUGCUUGAACUGGUGUGCAGAGCCCUCCUCCGUGUCGUCGCCACAGCAACCCGGGGCUCUAAUCUGCUGAAUAUGAAUAGAAGAAACAGAAAGAGAAAAGCCAUCCACCCCCUUCUGCUCCAUCCAUGAGUCCAAAAGAGGGAUACCGUCUCCAAGCAUUCCUGAUAGUCCCCCAGCCAUCGCCCAGGCAACAGUCACAGGGAACUGGCACGGCCUGCGGUGAGAAAGCAGUCCCUGUCUCAAGAUCAGACCUCCUCCUCCUCUGUCUCCUCCUCCUCCUCCUCCGCUCCUCCCACCCUGGGUCCCCUAUAGGCCCCUACAAACCUCCAUCCCACUUCUGGUCUCCUUGCCCCACACCCUCCAGCCAGUGGGUCAUUAAAUCACAGACAAG